rnacentral:rRNA from 1 species
CCCCUAAGGCCAGGCUGAGAAGCGUAGUCGAUGGGAACAAGGUUAAUAUUCCUAGACCAUUGUCAAGUAUGCGAUGGGGGGACGGAGUGUGAAAGAUGAUCCGGGUGUUGGAUAUCCCGGUGCAAGCGUGUAGGAAUAUCCGGUAGGCAAAUCCGCCGGACGAAUCUGAGACGCGAGUCCGUGGGCGCAAGCCCUGAAGCCGUUGAGUCUAUGCUGCCUAGAAAAGCUCCUAAGUUUAUCCACAGCAAUCCGUACCGCAAACCAACUCAGGUGGGUGGGAUGAACAAUCCAAGGCGCUCGAGAGAACUCUGGCCAAGGAACUCGGCAAAAUAACCCCGUAACUUCGGAAGAAGGGGUGCUCUCUAGGGUGACAUGUUUAACAUAUGAAGCCCCGGGGAGCCGCAGUGAAUUGGUGGUGGCGACUGUUUACUAAAAACAUAGGUCUGUGCGAAGUCCUAAAGACGACGUAUACGGACUGACGCCUGCCCGGUGCUGGAAGGUUAAAAGGAGGGGUCAGCGCAAGCAAAGCUCCGAAUUGAAGCCCCAGUAAACGGCGGCCGUAACUAUAACGGUCCUAAGGUAGCGAAAUUCCUUGUCGGGUAAGUUCCGACCUGCACGAAUGGCGUAACGAUCUCCACACUGUCUCGGCCAGAGACUCGGUGAAAUUGCAGUCGCGGUGAAAAUUCCGUGUACCCGCAGAAAGACGGAAAGACCCUGUGCACCUUUACUAUAGCUUGACAUUGGAUUUUGGGCCUGCAUGUGUAGGAUAGGUGGGAGGCUGUGAACCCUGUACGCCAGUAUGGGGGGAGCCAUCCUUGAAAUACCACCCUUGCAUGUUUAAGAUCCUAACUUCUUCCGGUUAUCCCGGAGAAAGACAGUGUCUGGCGGGUAGUUUGACUGGGGCGGUCGCCUCCUAAAGUGUAACGGAGGCAUGCAAAGGUUCCCUCAGCCUGAUCGGAAACCAGGCGCUGAGUGCAAACGCAUAAGGGAGCUUGACUGUAAGAGAGACAUCUCGAACAGGAACGAAAGUUGGCGUUAGUGAUCCGGUGGUCCCGAAUGGAAGGGCCAUCGCUCAUUGGAUAAAAGGUACGCCGGGGAUAACAGGCUGAUCGCAUCCAAGAGUUCACAUCGACGAUGCGGUUUGGCACCUCGAUGUCGGCUCAUCACAUCCUGGGGCUGAAGCAGGUCCCAAGGGUACGGCUGUUCGCCGUUUAAAGUGGUACGCGAGCUGGGUUUAAAACGUCGUGAGACAGUUUGGUCCCUAUCUUCUGUGGGCGAAGGAGAAUUGAGAGGGCCUGUCCCUAGUACGAGAGGACCGGGAUGGACGCACCCCUGGUGAUCCUGUUGUCGCGCCAGCGGCAUAGCAGGGUAGCUAUGUGCGGAAGGGAUAACCGCUGAAAGCAUCUAAGCGGGAAGCCUGCCUCAAGAUAAGUUCUCCCCUCGAAAGAGCUGAAGGGCCCGGGUAGACUACCCGGUCGAUAGGCUGGAGGUGUAAGCGCGGCGACGUGCUCAGCUGACCAGUACUAAUAGCCCGAGCGGCUUAUUU